UACGGGGGGUGCAAGCGUUAUUCGGAAUUACUGGGCGUAAAGGGCGCGCAGGCGGCCUUAUAAGUCGGAUGUGAAAGCCCGGGGCUUAACCCCGGAAGUGCAUUCGAUACUGUAAGGCUUGAGUAUGGGAGAGGGAAGUGGAAUUCCUGGUGUAGCGGUGAAAUGCGUAGAUAUCAGGAGGAACACCGGUGGCGAAGGCGACUUCCUGGACCAAUACUGACGCUGAGGCGCGAAGGCGUGGGGAGCAAACAGG
rnacentral:rRNA from 1 species